GGAAGACCCAUGCAUCAAUCAAGAUCUCUAUCUAUAAUAUAACAUACCUCAGGUUGGAUUCAACCACUUAGGAUGAUGAUCUGCAAAACCAAACCCCAUGACUUUAUGCUCUGCCAGUCUUCCCCUCUUCUAGCUAUUCGCAUGCGUCGAUCAAUCAUCUUCGGCAAAAUGACCAGAUAAAUUAUGCACCAAGGAUCCAUUAGAUUAAACUAAGUGCAUGAUAGACCGAUUCUUAUAUCCUUUGAAUGUGACCACUGGUUAGAUUAUGAUUAUG
rnacentral:lncRNA from 1 species